UAAAAUUGGAACGAUACAGAGAAGA
rnacentral:piRNA from 8 species